UGCCAGCCGCCGCGGUAAUACGGAAGGUCCUAGCGUCGUUCGGAAUUACUGGGCGUAAAGCGUACGUAGGCGGAUCAGAAAGUAUGGGGUGAAAUCCCAGGGCUCAACCCUGGAACUGCCUCAUAAACUCCUGGUCUUGAGUUCGAGAGAGGUGAGUGGAAUUCCAAGUGUAGAGGUGAAAUUCGUAGAUAUUUGGAGGAACACCAGUGGCGAAGGCGGCUCACUGGCUCGAUACUGACGCUGAGGUACGAAAGUGUGGGGAGCAAACAGGAUUAGAUA
rnacentral:rRNA from 1 species